CCUACGGGGUGCUGCAGUGGGGAAUAUUGGACAAUGGGCGAAAGCCUGAUCCAGCCAUGCCGCGUGUGUGAAGAAGGCCUUCGGGUUGUAAAGCACUUUCAGUGGGGAAGAAAGCCUUGGGGCUAAUACCCUCGAGGAAGGACAUCACCCACAGAAGAAGCACCGGCUAACUCCGUGCCAGCUGCCGCGGUAAUACGGAGGGUGCGAGCGUUAAUCGGAAUUACUGGGCGUAAAGCGCGCGUAGGCGGUCUGAUAAGCCGGUUGUGAAAGCCCCGGGCUCAACCUGGGAACGGCAUCCGGAACUGUCAGGCUAGAGUGCAGGAGAGGAAGGUAGAAUUCCCGGUGUAGCGGUGAAAUGCGUAGAGAUCGGGAGGAAUACCAGUGGCGAAGGCGGCCUUCUGGACUGACACUGACGCUGAGGUGCGAAAGCGUGGGUAGCAAACAGGAUUAGAUACCCGAGUAGUC
rnacentral:rRNA from 1 species